CUCAUUUUCCUUUUUGGUGUUUUUGCAUUGCUGAUUUCUUCAAAUCCAAAUAGUUUGGAUCUAUUAGAGAACCUUUGUAUUUUGACUUCUUCAAUUGAUACUCAAAGCUUCUUCAACAAUGCUUCGGAAACAAAUGCUCACAUUUGGCCUCCUGUGACUAACGACGGCUGAUCAGACUUGGCCUCGGGUGUCUCCAACGACCAUAAUGACAGCUGUUACAACUGCGAGGAACACUAACGAACAAGAGGAAAACACAGGUUGCACAUGAAAAUCACCAUUUAACUGCUGAAUAAAUCAACAAAAUGGGGAACGCACAAUCAGACAAACCAUUACCACCAUUUCUACCAUUACUACCAUUAUUCAGCCGGAAAUGCUGCAAGUGUGGUAAAGUCAUGCCUCGAUGGACCAUUGUUGAUCGUUGCAUAACUACUGUUCAUGGGCAGCAUGUAGUUGUGUACAAUGGAGGUGAAUUCUACAGACCAGUUGGCUUUAAUCUUAUGUUUGAGUGUGCACAUUGCUUUAAUAAGCCAAUCAGGGAUCAAGAGGAAAAGAGUAAAGAGGAGGAGAGAAGAAGAGAGGAGGAGAGACAGAGAGAGGAGGAGAGGAGAAGAGAAGAGGAGAGAAGAAGAGAGGAGGAGAGACAGAGAGAGGAAGAGAGGAGAAGAGAAGAGGAGAGACAGAGAGAGGAAGAGAGGAGAAGAGAAGAGGAGAGACAAAAACUGGAUCAAAGACUACAAGAAUCGCAGCAACGAUCCAAAGAGCAGCAUGAGAAACAACAGAGCAGCCACAUUUCAGAAGAAUAUGAGUCCAAGCGAGAUGUUGAGAUGUGGCAUCUGAAUGAGUUUGAGGCUAAGUAUGAAUCCGGCAGGGAUGAGCUUCUAGAAAUCCUCUCUAAGAAAUGCAGUUCCCCUGUUCCAGAUCUGAGUCUCACUCAGCUGACAGCAGACCAGCAGCGGGAGAUCCUGUCAGUCCUGGACAAACUUCUGUUUGAUGAAUGGAUCAGUG